rnacentral:rRNA from 1 species
AAUGAACGUUGGCGGCGUGGAUUAGGCAUGCAAGUCGAGCGAGAACCCCGCAAGGGGGGACAGCGGCAAACGGGGGAGUAAUGUAUCGGAACGUGCCCUCCGGACGGGGAUAGCGGCGGGAAACUGACGGUAAUACCCGCUGAUCUCGACAGAGCAAAGGAGUGAUUCCGCCGGAGGAGCGGCCGACAUGGUAUUAGCUAGUUGGCGGGGUAACGGCCCACCAAGGCUGUGAUGCCUAGGGGAUGUGAGAGCAUGAUCCCCACCAUUGGGACUGAGACACUGCCCAGACACCUACGGGUGGCUGCAGUCGAGAAUCUUCGUCAAUGGGCGAAAGCCUGAACGAGCGACGCCGCGUGCGGGAUGAAGGCCCUUGGGUUGUAAACCGCUGUCGAGGGGGAUGAAGGCAUUCAGGUACUCCUGAAUGUUUGACAGAGCCCUGGAGGAAGCACGGGCUAAGUUCGUGCCAGCCGCCGCAGUAAAAC